UCUUGCGCAAUGGGCGAAAGCCUGACGCAGCCAUGCCGCGUGAAUGAUGAAGGUCUUANGAUUGUNANAUUCUUUCACCGGGGACNCUAAUGACGGUACCCGGAGAAGAAGCCCCGGCUAACUUAGUGCCAGCAGCCGCGGUAAUACGAAGGGGGCUAGCGUUGCUCGGAAUUACUGGGCGUAAAGGGCGCGUAGGCGGAUCGUUAAGUCAGAGGUGAAAUCCCAGGGCUCAACCCGGGAACUGCCUUUGAGACUGGCGAUCUUGAGUAUGAGAGAGGUAUGUGGAACUCCGAGUGUAGAGGUGAAAUUCGUAGAUAUUCGGAAGAACACCAGUGGCGAAGGCGACAUACUGGCUCAUUACUGACGCUGAGGCGCGAAAGCGUGGGGAGCAAACAG
rnacentral:rRNA from 1 species